CCAGCCACAAUCACUUAGAGACACUCUCCACUGGAAUAAUUAAUAUGAGCUAUAAUUCAUGGUCAUUAAUUUGUUGAAAUGUGGUCCCAAGUGCCAAUUUUUGAAAGGCCCAAUUAAUUUAUUUCUGGUUACCUACUUUCAGUGACUUUGUGGUAUCCUGAAAGCUUAAAGAUGGUACGUUCAACCAUAGAUUGAACAGUAGGAGGGAUUGGAAACGACCAUGCAGGCUGCACUGUGUAAACCGGUGAAACACUCCGCGUUAUGAUAUUGCGCUCGCUUAGUUUUACCGUACUCCGGUUGUAUUUCACUGUUUCUAGCUCUCCUAUCCACUAGCGAUCACUCAGGGGCUGGGAGGUACUCUAGAGAAGUAAGUUUACACCACUGACUAAGUCCGUUGUCUUUUACUCCGUUUUUAAUUUUUGUUGAGUUUAGCUUACUCCAUGUCAACUUUUCUCUUUCCUUGCUGUGAAGCCGAAACUUGACUUGGUUAUUAUGUAUCUAAGUGCUAUAUAGAAUGGCUUCAUGCUAUGGAUAAGCUGUACUGUUCAUAAACGUUUGCGGUAUAUAGUCUUUCAAACUGCUUUAGUAUACUUUUAGACACACCACGGGCCUUGACUUCCCACGACUUCAUAGUAGUAAGGGCUAUUCCUUCUUGUAUAGCAUUUACUAUGCCUCGGUGCGCAUGCGCAAGCGAGGGAUACGGUAUAGUGUGUUUGUGUGUCUGUCUGUGUAGACUGCUACAGCUGCUCAAGGAUCAAUGAAGUGCAAGUAAGAGUUUCUAUAGGCUUCUAGUCAUGUUUUCAAUUUGUGAAUUUUGCAAAAUAAUGCUUCGUUCUAGAGUUAUGCCUAGUUUUGCUUACUUGGAAUGCCAUUGCAGCCUUUUCAGAAGAGCACGUAGCCAAACUUGUUUACCGAGUGUUGCUACUCUACUUAGUAGUUAGCUCUGCACUAGAACGCUAGCUAUUGGUAGCUGCAAGAGUGAGAAGAGAGCUGCAAGGCUCUGCUGAUGGCAGCCAUUAAUUUAGACUUGAACUUUUGACAUCAAUCGUUUUUAACAACAAUCAUGGUCAAUCAUUACCCACUCUUGCAGCAAAUUUAUUACGCAAAAAUGUUCAUCAUGACUGUGUAUAAAUAAGCUAUUAGUAGCUUUAUGUUAUGUAGCUUUGGCAUCUCCACCGAGGCAUCAGCACCCGUGGUGCUUUAGUGAUAGUGGCUGAGUUGCUUAGUCGACCUUUUAGAGCUAGAUUUUCUUUACUUUUUAGAAUAAUCGUGAUCAAUUUCACCAUUUCUAUGUACAGCACGUUGUAUGGCAGUCAAGACAGGAUUAAUUUUUUGUAGUCUUAGCCACGCCCUAUAACACGGAGUGUUUCACGCAAACAUUUUCGUUUCCAAUCCCUCCUACUGUUCUAUCUAUGGUUCAACCCAUUUUCGACUAAUACCGUGAUUAAACCAAAGAUGGUACUAGUCACGUGAUGUUAGCCUAUAAUUAUAAUAUGUUUCCUACGUGUUACAUUAUUAUUUAACCUCUGAACUCGUGUGAACUAAACACUUUAUGUCUUGUCUCUUCAGAACAGUGCUGGUGACGACCAUAGUGACAAGGUAAGUACAACUACUCACAAAUGUGUGGUAAUCUACUCUCUAGACUGCAAGCACUGUAGAAUGGCAGCUCUAUCCACACAUUCAGCUGGAUCACACCGACUACAGGAGAGUCGACUGUGACCUGUUCGUAGAAGAGCAUCAGUUUAAGGGAGGCCUUGUCUGGCUUCACUUGCACUCUGUACCCCCUGGACGGGAGGAACGUGAGUGUGUCCAGGUCACCAGGAGCAGUGUUGUCACCAGGGUCUGGAGGGUGAGGGGAUGCCAGUGUUCAGGAGGCCUCAUGUCAAGGGCAACCUCUAUGUUCAGUUCACCAUCCAAUUCCCUGACUCUGGUUUCCUGGAGGAGAGUCAACUAAAGGAGUUGAAGUGUUUCCUGCCCACAGGACCUGGCCCCACCAGCACUGGACCCAGAGGCAGAGGAAGUGGAUAUGAUAGAGAGUGAGGGGACGAGGGGAGUGGGCGGGGCACAAGGGGGUGGAGCUAUAUACGAUGAAGAUGAGGAGGAUGAAGGAGUGGGCGGGACACAGAGGGUGGGUUGCUCUCAACAGUGACACUCUUAGGAACUCUAUAUUCACCGCUUUGUUUGUAUUUAUGGACUGGUUUUGUGGUUACUGCUAUUGUUCUAAUUAUGGGAAUAACGUUUGCCCAUACCACUCAUAA